UUUCAAUCUCUCUUUGUAUAUGCACCUCUUGGUGAUCUAAUAAGGACAUAUCUACUUGCAGUAUGUUUGUAUAAGUUUUGUCCAUUCAAUACAUGGUGAUCGGUUGAUAAACACUGGAGCAAUUAUAUGGUUUAAGCAAGAGGAAUCGGUCUCAGAGAUGUAACGUCGUAGCAACGUAGAGAAAUUUGAGUUCCAAGGUGAGGUUUCUUGCCUCAUGGAUAUUAUAAUUUUUGAGAGAGCUAUCUCCAAUGCUUCUGAUGUGUGAAAAAUUUACUAAACCGUUUAUUACACGUGAGUAACAAUC